GACUGUGUGGCUCAGCCACUGUGACUCUUUCUUAGUACUUUUUCCGCUUUUAUUGUGUCAAACAUAACACUGCUACUACGGUAGGGCUGUAGUGGUUUAUCACAGAAAAUGAUUCUGUGCUCUUUGUUCAGGAAGGAAAUUAGUGUUCUUAUGUACUCACGAGACCCUCAAGACUUCCUCAGCAACGUGAUCCGGAGAAAUCAUAUCAAGACCACAGGUUAAAUGUGUGACACCACUUGGGCAUCAUUAAAUUCUUAAUCUCUAUCAAGGAAGGAAAGAGGAAGUCAGAGGAGAGAACUCUGCUAAGAGCCCUGCCCUUGGAAGGCAUUUGACUUAAAAUGCUGAAGCAAGGAGACAGCAUGAUCCGAGAAGCCAGCAGCAGUCACACCACGCUUACUCUCUCGAGUGAUGCCACCACAGAGCGCUCCCUUAUUGGAUCACAGCAAUUACUGGCCUUACAACGCAGAUUCGGAAAGCCUUAUCGAAUUUCCUCCUGGAGAUGGCAGGCUUACAAAGAGUCAUGUGCUGUUUCUUGGCUGAGGACAUCACCAAAUUACAACAAAAUGCAGUAAAC